CAUGUACAGUUGUUUCUUUUAAAUGCAUCAUAUAUAGGUCGGAAAAUUAGGACAGAAAACACAUAUAUCGUAAGUAAUGGAUAAUAUAUACACAAAGAUAAAUCUCAAAGAAAUGGAUGUUAACUUCAAUAAACUUGACAUAUUGAUUCGUAUGUGGCAUGCGGAUAUGAAGUAAGUAGAAUGCAGUAAGGUUAAACGAAUGAGAU